rnacentral:rRNA from 1 species
CAGAGGUCCCAAGCGUUGUUCGGAAUUACUGGGCGUAAAGGGCGCGUAGGCGGCCUUCUAAGUCAGACGUGAAAUCCCCCGGCUUAACCUGGGAACUGCGUCUGAUACUGGAGGGCUUGAGUAUGGGAGAGGGAUGUAGAAUUCCAGGUGUAGCGGUGAAAUGCGUAGAUAUCUGGAGGAAUACCGGUGGCGAAGGCGGCAUCCUGGACCAUUACUGACGCUGAGGCGCGAAAGCUAGGGGAGCAAACGGGAUUAGAUACCCCGGUAGUCCUAGCCCUAAACGAUGAAUACUUGGUGUGGCGGGUAUCGAUCCCUGCCGUGCCGAAGCUAACGCAUUAAGUAUUCCGCCUGGGGAGUACGGUCGCAAGGCUG